CACAGACACAGAAUUGAGAGCAGAGUGUCUGUCUGUCAUCCAGUCCCACACCAGACAGCCCUGAGCAUGAGUGUACAAUCCAUAAGCUGGUUUUUGAAUUGGUGAGAAUUGACAAAUGCUGGAUAUGCCAUUCACCUUUGACAUCUGUCAGAUGGCACGGUGUAAGAUGCAAACUGAUGGUCACUACAGAGGGCAGUUUGGUCAAUUUGCAAAUGCUUGUGGAGCCGAAGAUCCUCAAAACCUCAGAUCAACUAACCUUCGCAAAAAGAUUGCCACAAUAAGCCAAGUCAUGAACUUGAAAGAUAAUGAACUGGACCAGCUGGCCGAUUUUCUCGGCCAUGA
ensembl:lncRNA